CUACAGCAGCAGCUACAGCUACAACAACAAUAUCAGAGGCUGCAACAACAGCUGGCUUCAUCUGCUCAACUGCAACAAAACUCUUUGACCCUCAACCAACAGCAAUUGCCCUUGUUGAUGCAGCAGCCGAAAUCCAUGGGGCAACCUCUGCUUCAGCAGCAGCAGCAACAACUUCUACAGCAGCAGCUACAGUUACAACAACAAUAUCAGAGGUUGCAACAACAGCUAGCUUCAUCUGCUCAACUGCAACAAAACUCUUCGACCCUGAACCAAUUGCCCCAGUUGAUGCAGCAGCAGAAAUCCAUGGGGCAACCUCUGCUUCAGCAGCAGCUACAACAACAACAACUUCUACUGCAGCAGCAACAACUAGUUCUACAACAGCAGCAGCAGCAACAGCAACAACAACGAACUCAACUUCUGCAGCAGCAGAUGCAGGCUCUGAGGAUUCCAGGACCUGCAGGU
rnacentral:lncRNA from 1 species